GUAGACCAACAGGGAUUGCCCUAGUAACGGCGAGUGAAGCGGCAACAGCUCAAAUUUGAAAUCUGGCCUCGGCCCGAGUUGUAAUUUGCAGAGGAUGCUUCUGGCGCGGUGCCUUCCGAGUUCCCUGGAACGGGACGCCACAGAGGGUGAGAGCCCCGUAUGGUCGGACACCAAGCCUGUGUGAAGCUCCUUCGACGAGUCGAGUAGUUUGGGAAUGCUGCUCUAAAUGGGAGGUAAAUCUCUUCUAAAGCUAAAUACCGGCCAGAGACCGAUAGCGCACAAGUAGAGUGAUCGAAAGAUGAAAAGCACCUUGAAAAGGGGGUUAAAUAGUACGUGAAAUUGUUGAAAGGGAAGCACUUGUGACCAGACUUGGGCCGGGCGGCUCAUCAGGGGUUCUCCCCUGUGCACUCCGCCCGGCACAGGCCAGCAUCGGUUCUCGCGGGGGGAUAAGACCGUCAGGAACGUAGCACCCUCCGGGGUGUGUUAUAGCCUGGCGGACGAUACCCCCGUGGGGACCGAGGUUCGCGCUCCGCAAGGAUGCUGGCGUAAUGGUCACCAGUGACCCGUCUUGAAACACGGACCAAGGAGUCGUCCAUUAGAGCGAGCGUUUGGGUGUAAAACCCGCACGCGUAAUGAAAGUGAACGCAGGUGAGAGCUUCGGCGCAUCAUCGACCGAUCCUGAUGUCCUCGGAAGGAUUUGAGUAAGAGUUUUAACGGACGGACCCGAAAGACAGUGAACUAUGCUUGUAUAGGGUGAAGCCAGAGGAAACUCUGGUGGAGGCUCGCAGCGGUUCUGACGUGCAAAUCGAUCGUCAAAUAUGAGCAUGGGGGCGAAAGACUAAUCGAACUGUCUAGUAGCUGGUUACCGCCGAA
rnacentral:rRNA from 1 species